GACAGAGGGUGCAACCGUUGCUCGGAAUUACUGGGCGUAAAGCGCGUGUAGGCGGGUCGGCAAGUCGGGCGUGAAAGCCCCAGGCUCAACCUGGGAACUGCACUUGAAACUUCCGGUCUAGAGUGGUGGAGAGGGAAGUGGAAUUCCUGGUGUAGAGGUGAAAUUCGUAGAUAUCAGGAGGAACACCAAUGGCGAAGGCAGCUCGCUGGGACGUGACUGACGCUGAGACGCGAAAGCGUGGGGAGCAAACAGG
rnacentral:rRNA from 1 species